AGGUUUUCCAUUUGGUUCAUAUUUAACCUCAAAUGGUAAAUGAAAAAUGUUUAAUGUGGUUAUUCUGGAUAGACAUAUAAAGAAAUUAUGUAUUAGCAAUCAAAUCAAUUCAGUAUAUAGUUAAAAAGGAAAUAAGUUUAAAAAGCAUCCUUUCUAAAUAUGACCGAUGCCAUCAAAAGAUCAUAAAAUUUCUGGUCUUUAACCUUAGCUUAAUUAAAUGAAUGCUGGCAAAUCCCUGAUGCUACUGUGCUUCAAUGCCCUAAACUGCCAAGUCAGGUAGUGGUAGCAGUGUAACAUAGCGUGUACACCAAAAACUAAGACGACCUGCUGACGUACUGAACACCUUAGCACACAGAUGCAGAGUCAUGCAAGUUCAAAGCUAGACUGAGCUACACAGAGCCCUGUCUCAAAAUGCCCAGGGAUGUAGUUCAGCACGCACUUGCUUAGUCUGACUGAGGUCCUGGAUUCCAUCUCCAGGACUGAAACACAAGUAACAUAAUACCCAUCAAGAACAGUGUUUGUGGUGGUCUGAAUGAAAAAUGGCCCCCACUAUAGGGGUGGCCUUGUUAGAAGUGUGUCACAGUGACACUCUGUUCCUGCUGCCUGCCAACCCAGAUGUAGAACUCUCAGCUACCUCUCCAGCCUGCCUAUGCACCGCCACGUUUUCACCCUAACAAUAACAGACUAAAUCUCUGAGCCAUAACCAGCCCUGACUAAAUGGUUUCCUUUAUAAGAGUCCCCAAGGUCGUGGUGUCUCUUCACAGCAAUGGAACCCUAACUAAGACAGUGUUACAACGUAUUUUUAAAAAGACAUUAUGCCAUGAUCAGCUGAUUCUUUUAAAAAUGAGGAAUACAAUGGUUCAUCAUAUGCAAACCAAUAAACAGCACACAGCCUCAGGAGAAAUUGCAUAAUCAUUUCAAUAGAUGCAAAAAAAAGUCUUCGAGAAACUUCAACAUCCCUUUAUGACAACAUGAAGCUAAGACAGAAGGGUCAUACUUCCACAUAAUAAAGGUUAUGGAUGACAGGCUGACAGCAACAUCAGAAUCAAUGAGGAAAACCUGAGAGCAUAUUCUCUAAAGUACGGAAUCCACAGAGCAUCCACUCAGAACUCUUCUGCAGCAGUUAUCGGAAGCUUAGCUAAAGCAGUGUGUCACGAAAAAAUAAGCAGGAUAGAAUUAGGAAAGGAAGAAGUCAAGCAUCCCUGUAUGAAGGUGCACGGUCCUAUAGUUAAGACUUCAAAGAGCCCACACCUCAGCUGUGAAUAAACUGUCGGCAAUGAAAUGCACACCAACACCAACACCAACACACAAGCCCCUGCAGCUUUCCUCACUACCAAUAACGACGUCAGUGAGACAGAAGUCAUGGAGACCGGCCCAUUCCCAACAACCCCACAAAACAACUCCCACAAACAACCAAAAGUAUUAAAUACUCUACAACAAAAACCAAGCUCUGAAACUAUGAAGAGAGUGUGGAAGACACCAGACAGCAGAAGCCCAUGUGUUCACAGGCUGGCAGAAUCAACACUGUGACCAGCUUAUUAGCAAAAGCAAUCUUCACAUGCCAUGCAGUCUUCUUCAAAACCUUCAUGGCACUCUUCACAAGAAGAGAAAAAUUCUUAAACUCACAGCACAAAACAAAAGACCUGGAAGAAUCCAAACAAUGAUGAGCAAUGAAGAGGACUGCUCCAGGCCUUACAAUGACUUCAGAUGGCACUACAGAGCCUCGGUGAUAACACAAAACCAGGCAUUGGGCGGGGUCUGCAGAAUAGCACAGAAAGCCCAGACACAGGCCCAUGUGCAGUCACCCGAUUCCUGGUAAUGAAACUGGAGGUGAGGACCAAGACAGCCUUGUAAACAGUGACAGUAAAGUAACUGUCCACAUGUAGAAGAUGGAAACCAGGGCAACUGAAAAGACAAAGUGCUGACCUGAAACUAGGGGAGACACUUCAACAUCUGAACCUGAGAGACAGCUUCCAGAAUACGACUCCAAAAGCUCCAGAAAUAAAAGCAGGAAUUCAAAGACAAGAGUGCAUCAAAUUAAAAAGCUUCUGUACUUCCAUACAGCAAAAGAAAUAAUUAUCAGAGUGAAGAGAGGAGAGCACACAGAAUGGGAGGUCUUUGCUAGAUCCUCAUCUGACAAAUAAUAGAUUACAACAAGCAUCUCAAAAACGUUAAACACCAAAGGAGCAAAUAAUUCACUUAACAAAUGGGCUAAUGAAGCAGACACUUCUGAAAUUAAUAAGUAUGAACAGCACACACAUACAUGAAAGUGUCCAACAUCUUCAGCUGUUGGGAAAUGCAAAUCAGAGGUACAGCAGCAGUCCAGCUCACCCCAGGCAGAAUAACGAACAUCACAAACCAAGUGUCAGCAAAGCUGUGGAGGGGCGUGUACAGGGAGGGAACUUUACACCAGUUGGUAGGAAUGUAACUAGUUCUACCUACUAUAACUUAGCUUGGCGGUGUCUCAGUUACUAUUCUAUUGCUGUGAAGAGACACCAUGACCAAGGUAACUCAUAACAGAAAGCAUUUUCUUGGGGGCUUGCUUAUAAUUUCAGAGGGAGAAUCCAUGGCCGUCAGGGAGGAGAGUGUGGCAGCAGACAGGCAGCAAUGGCACUGGAGCAGUAGCUGUGAGCUCACAUCCUUAUCUAUAUGCAGGAGAAAGAAAGAAGGUGAGACUGGCUGGGCCCGGCAGGCUUUUGAGACAUCAAAACCCAUCCUUAGUGACACACCUCCUCCAACAAGGUCAGACCUCCAAACUUUUCCCAAAGAGUCCCACUAAAUGUGGACCAAGCCGUCAAACAAGCCUGUGGGCACCAUUCUCAUUCAAACUGUGGCCCUACUAACAACAGUUACAUUACAGAACCAGCUUGGGGCGAAGCAAUGGAUCAAGAAAAAUGUACACACACACACACACACACACACACACACUUUAUUCAGGCAUAAAGGAUGGGGUAGGGUUGGGGUGAGGAGACAGGCUGGGGAAGCUGAUCUAAGUACGCUAUAUGUAUCUAAGAAUGGAGAAUGUCAUAAUGAAAACCCACUGCUUUAUACAAUUAAUCUAUACUAAUUAUAAAAGAAAAGUGUUAGAGGUUAUAAAAGGCGUCAGAAUAAAAAUGAACUGUAAAUUCUCAGGGGGAAAAAAGCCACAGCUCUGUUAAAGAUUCUACAAGGCUGACUGACAAAUUCGGAAUUGUGAGAAGUUAGAAUGUUACAGAUCGAGAGCCAAAUUAUUUUAGAUUACCAUUAGCUCCUUUUCUAACCAUUCUGUUUCCUUUCUCUUUGUUGGAGAAAACAACCUUAUAGUUAUACAUGAAACUAACUCACAAGCUAACAAUAUGUUUAGAUAACAUCUAAAACCUUUCCCCCAUUUUGCUAUAACCCAUCUACCUACUAUACAUGGUAAAUGCUGUGGUUUAUGACUUUUUUGUUUUAUAGCAAUAAAUUUCACAAAACUGUUGCCACAAUAGAACAUGUUAUUUAUGGCAACCAGAUUCUGUGUUCUUAGGCCUUAGUCACUCAAGACUUGGCUUACGAUAAACAUUUGCCCCUUAUCGGAGAUGACACCAUCGUUUCCUCUGACAGGAUGGAUGGACAGAUGGAUGCCGGCAGACUGGGUGCUGGGAAUGUACCUCAGGUGGAGAAUGCCUGCCUGACAUGCAGGAAGACCUAGAGCUGAUGCCCACCACUGACAGCCCGCUGUGGGGGCUCACGUGUGUGAUGCAGCACCAGAGAGCCGUAUGCUGAAGGAUCAGACAUUUAAGGGCACUCUAGAAAACAUGAGCUGAGUCUUCAAAAUAUAUUAAAUACUUUGAUUUACACAAAAAUGUUUAUUUCAAAACAAAAUCUGAUUAAACAUUAAACAUUGUUAUAUAAGUCCUA